AAGCAACAAAAACACAUGGGAAACCGCUUAUCUUCAUAAUUACUUUCCAUUAAUUUUCAACAGUACCUAUCACUUCCCACAGAAAAAAAUUCUUUGAAAACACCACACCUCCUAACUUUUCAAAACCCUUUUCCAAUACUUUCCUUCAACAAUCCAGACGUUUCAUUCCCUUGUGGAAUCCGUCCAUCUUCGAUCGGUGACCACCGCUUCCUCCGUACCAAAAGUAACCAUAUUCAACAGAUAAGUUGCCUCUCUUUUUUGGAGUCCUUCUUUAGCUAUGAGAUGAGCAACCUUGUUAAAUUCUCUAUGAAUAAACUGAAAAACGCAGAACUCAAAACCUAAACUCAGUUGCUUUGAAUCUUUUAUAAAAACUUCAAUUUAUGAUCUAUCUUCUUUCUCCUCUUGCAGUUUAUGGAUUACCAAACGGGAAUCUAUUUCGAUCUCAACCUCCCUCAGCCCGAGAAAUAACCCAAGAUUAAGUUCCUGAAAACAUGCCAUCGCUUCUACUGCAAAAGCAAAUGCAUCAAAAUUGAUUUUUAUCCUCAGACCAUUCGGAGCGACCCAUCUACUCGUAUGAAACCAUCUCGCUGGGCACUCCCUGAACAAAUGCUCCCUCGUUUCCACUCCAUUCUGACACCUUCGACAAGUUGCGGGUUCCAACAGUCUUCUAUAAUGUAGAUUAUAGAAAGUAGGCAAAUGGUUACAAGAAAACCUUCAGUUUGUAAUUUUAAUUUUUGGAGGUAGAUCUAAGCUCCACAAUCUCUUGUGAAAUUGCCUGUAGUUAGAUUGUAUUUUAUUUUGUCUGUCAUGUAAAAGAAAUUUGUGCCCGCUGCGAACAGUAUACUCCCUCGUCGGCUCACCUCUCUAGAUUGUAUGGUCGUCAUGCUGAUUCGAAGAGGAAUACAUAAGAUCCGCUCCACAUCCUUCUCCAAAAAGGUAUUAUAAAUCAGCUCGGUUUUCCAUUUUCUUAUUUGAGCUAACUUUAUUCUUAAUAAAGUCUAGUCUUAUUAUCAAAAAAUAAAAUAAAAUCUUUUGAUUAAAAAA